UAACUGGUGGCGACCGGCGUCACGGGUGCGUAACACGUAUACAAUCUACCUUAAACAGGGGGGAUUAGCCUUUCGAAAAGAGAGAUUAAUACCCCGUAAUAAAUUGAACGGCAUCGUUUGAUUUUGAAAGCUCCGGCGGUUUGAGAUGAGUAUGCGUCUGAUUAGCUAGUUGGUGAGGUAACGGCUCACCAAGGCGACGAUCAGUAGGGGACCUGAGAGGACUAACCCCCACACUGGUACUGAGACACGGACCAGACUCCUACGGGAGGCAGCAGUAAGGAAUAUUGGUCAAUGGAGGCAACUCUGAACCAGCCAUGCCGCGUGCAGGAUGACGGCCCUAUGGGUUGUAAACUGCUUUUAUACAAGAGAAAACCCUGGUACGUGUACCAAGUUGAUAGUAUUGUAAGAAUAAGCAUCGGCUAACUUCGUG
rnacentral:rRNA from 1 species